UAGGCCCUUCGGGGUACACGAGCGGCGAACGGGUGAGUAACACGUGAGCAACCUGCCCCUGACUCCGGGAUAAGCGGUGGAAACGCCGUCUAAUACCGGAUACGACCCGCCACCUCAUGGUGGAGGGUGGAAAGUUUUUCGGUCAGGGAUGGGCUCGCGGCCUAUCAGCUUGUUGGUGGGGUAACGGCCUACCAAGGCGAUUACGGGUAGCCGGCCUGAGAGGGCGACCGGCCACACUGGGACUGAGACACGGCCCAGACUCCUGCGGGAGGCAGCAGUGGGGAAUAUUGCGCAAUGGGCGAAAGCCUGACGCAGCGACGCCGCGUGGGGGAUGACGGCCUUCGGGUUGUAAACCUCUUUUACCACCAACGCAGGCUCGAAGUUCUCUUCGGGUUGACGGUAGGUGGGGAAUAAGGACCGGCUAACUACGUGCCAGCAGCCGCGGUAAUACGUAGGGUCCGAGCGUUGUCCGGAAUUAUUGGGCGUAAAGAGCUCGUAGGCGGCGUGUCGCGUCUGCUGUGAAAGACCGGGGCUUAACUCCGGUUCUGCAGUGGAUACGGGCAUGCUAGAGGUAGGUAGGGGAGACUGGAAUUCCUGGUGUAGCGGUGAAAUGCGCAGAUAUCAGGAGGAACACCGGUGGCGAAGGCGGGUCUCUGGGCCUUACCUGACGCUGAGGAGCGAAAGCAUGGGGAGCGAACAGG
rnacentral:rRNA from 1 species